GCAGUCGAGUGGGUUUAGGCCCACGGCAAACGGGUUAGUAAUGCAUAGGAAUUUUCCUCGAAGUCGUGAAUAAUCCGGAGAAAUCCGGAAUAAUACACGAUGUGCUCUACGGAGUAAAGAUUUAUCGCUUUGAGAGAAGCCUAUGUCCUAUCAGCUUGUUGGUGGUGUAAAGGACCACCAAGGCUAUGACGGGUAGGGGGUGUGAGAGCACGGCCCCCAACAUUGGGACUGAGACACUGCCCAAACUCCUACGGGAGGCUGCAGUCGAGAAUAUUCGUCAAUGCGCGAAAGCGUGAACGAGCGACGCCGCGUGCGGGAUGAAGGCCUUCGGGUUGUAAACCGCUUUUGUAAGGGAAGAAUUUCGAUGACGGUACCUUACGAAUAAGAGGUUACUAACUCUGUG
rnacentral:rRNA from 1 species